rnacentral:rRNA from 1 species
UACGUAGGGGGCGAGCGUUGUCCGGAAUCAUUGGGCGUAAAGAGCUCGUAGGCGGUUCAGUAAGUCAGGUGUGAAAGCUCCGAGCUCAACUCGGAGAGGCCACCUGAUACUGCUGUGACUAGAAUCCAGUAGGGGAGUGUGGAACUCCUGGUGUAGCGGUGAAAUGCGCAGAUAUCAGGAGGAACACCAAUGGCGAAGGCAGCACUCUGGGCCGGUACUGACGCUGAGGAGCGAAAGCGUGGGGAGCAAACAGG